CCUACGGGUGGCAGCAGUGGGGAAUAUUGCACAAUGGGGGGAACCCUGAUGCAGCGACGCCGCGUGGGUGAAGGAGUAUUUCGGUAUGUAAAGCCCUAUCAGCAGGGAAGAACAAUGACGGUACCUGACUAAGAAGCACCGGCUAAAUACGUGCCAGCAGCCGCGGUAAUACGUAUGGUGCAAGCGUUAUCCGGAGUUACUGGGUGUAAAGGGAGCGCAGGCGGCGCGUUAAGCCUGGUGUGAAAGCCCGCGGCCCAACCCCGGGACUGCCCUUGGAACUGCAUGGCUGGAGUGCGGGAGGGGCAGGCGGAAUUCCUGGUGUAGCGGUGAAAUGCGUAGAUAUCAGGAGGAACACCGGCGGCGAAGGCGGCCUGCUGGACCGCGACUGACGUUGAGGCUCGAAAGCGUGGGGAGCGAACAGGAUUAGAUACCCUAGUAGUC
rnacentral:rRNA from 1 species